GACGAACGCUGGCGGCGUGCUUAACACAUGCAAGUCGAACGGAAAGGCCCUGCUUUUGUGGGGUGCUCGAGUGGCGAACGGGUGAGUAACACGUGAGUAACCUGCCCUUGACUUUGGGAUAACUUCAGGAAACUGGGGCUAAUACCGGAUAGGAGCUCCUGCUGCAUGGUGGGGGUUGGAAAGUUUCGGCGGUUGGGGAUGGACUCGCGGCUUAUCAGCUUGUUGGUGGGGUAGUGGCUUACCAAGGCUUUGACGGGUAGCCGGCCUGAGAGGGUGACCGGCCACAUGGGGACUGGGAUACGGCCCAGACUCCUACGGGAGGCAGCAGUGGGGAAUAUUGCACAAUGGGCGGAAGCCUGAUGCAGCAACGCCGCGUGCGGGAUGACGGCCUUCGGGUUGUAAACCGCUUUCGCCUGUGACGAAGCGUGAGGGACGGUAAUGGGUAAAGAAGCACCGGCGAACUACGU
rnacentral:rRNA from 1 species